UACGUAGGGUGCAAGCGUUGUCCGGAAUUAUUGGGCGUAAAGAGCUCGUAGGCGGCUCGUCACGUCGGCUGUGAAAACCCGGGGCUCAACCCCGGGCCUGCAGUCGAUACGGGCGAGCUAGAGUUCGGCAGGGGAGACUGGAAUUCCUGGUGUAGCGGUGAAAUGCGCAGAUAUCAGGAGGAACACCAAUGGCGAAGGCAGCACUCUGGGACGUGACUGACGCUGAGACGCGAAAGCGUGGGGAGCAAACAGG
rnacentral:rRNA from 1 species